GUGUAAAACUGGGGGACUCUACUCCAGUUCACAUAAGAACGCCAACUGUGUGGAAAGCCCGCGCUUUAUUUCCCAUUGUUUCAGGUGUCAGGCAUGCGCGAUUUUGGGGCGGCGCUACUGCAUGAGAGGAACGCGUCUUCCAGAGCGGAGAAAGCUGGUUACUUCACCGCGUGGGACACAGCCUACCGACGGAUCUAACGUCAGGACUAAUUAGCCAAUCAGACCUUAAUUAAGACACAGGACCAUUGUCCAUCCCCUUCAUCUUAUGGCGUAACUCUUCGCUAAAUUUUCUUCCCAUAUAUUUCUAUAUUUUCCUAAAGAAUGAUAUGCUGAAGUAGUAACGAAGGAGAAAUGAUUACAUUUGUAAAUUAGAGGUAUUGUAGUGUCGAGAAUCUAGAAUUUUAAAGAGGUGAAAUGAUUUACACUGGCAGCCUAUAUACUAGCAUAUUAAACAAAAACAAUUUUGAUAGAUUAUGUGCAAUUCUCUGAAGACAAUCGAAAUUGCAUCAGAACACAGAGAAAGAGACAGAGACAGAGAGAGAUUUAUUUAUUUCAUCGUCGACAGGCUGCAACGCAUCUCAGAUGAUGAGAUCGGCACGCGGACCGAUUUAGAAAGUAUCCUCUAUAUUUGAAUGGCGUUAAAAUCAUCUUUCAUGCUGGUCAUUCAGCCUAAACGACUAUGUUGUUACAUUAUUACGAAUAAGCACGUUUCGCAAUUCAUCUUCUCUGAAUUGUGCUCCUCCUCAACUGGUAACUAAUAGCAGUUCAUUUUAUUUGUCUGUGACAUACGGACCCUGAUAUACCCUGGGAGUCCAUGUGAACUAAUUUAAUCGAAAGGUUGAACAGAUAAUUAAACACAAGCAUGAACAGAUUUUUUUCUAAAUUACAAAAUGAUGUCAGGAGAUGGUAACUAAUUAAAUCAUCCACCAGGCAAAAUUCUUCAGACCUUGCAGUAAAAUUUGCACAUAAAUAAUAAGAAGAUGAAACAAUGGUAUUGGAUCUUCCUACUUUCUCCAGAUGAUAAUCAAAAAGGAUCUUGAAAGCAAUCCCUCUCGAUUAUCUCUUCUUCUCUCUUAAGCAAGUGAUAGACAAGCUCAUUGUGAAACAGCGUGAUGUGAAUAAUGAAUUAAAUGGAUGAAGAGAAGGUAUCAUCUCAGAAAUUCAUGCUCAAGAUCCUUCUGCAGUUUCUUAAGUUCUGAGGAAUGUCAAUAGCAGUAAUUACGAACACGCAAAAAGCGUGUAAUGAAGGACGUGCAUAGCGUGAAAAGAAACAAUGCUAGAUAAUGUCAAUAUCAAGUUGACUGUGGCUCAAGAUUAAUCUUCUAAAUACCAAAUUGGAAUACUCUUUACUACUAUGGAAUUAUGUAAGACAAAAUUU